GACCUCAAAUCAGGUAAGAAUACCCGCUGAACUUAAGCAUAUCAAUAAGCGGAGGAAAAGAAAAUAACAAUGAUUCCCUCAGUAACGGCGAGCGAAGAGGGAUAAGCUCAAAUUUUAAAUCUGUUGGGUUUCACCUAACAGAGUUGUAUUUUGAAGAAACGUUUUCUGCGUCCAGGAUUAGCCUAAAUCCUUUGGGAUAAGGUAUCAUGGAGGGUGAGAAUCCCGUUCAUGGUUAAUCUUAAGGAUGCUCUACGAUACGUUCUCCAAGAGUCGAGUUGUUUGGGAUUGCAGCUCAAAAUGGGAGGUAAAUUUCUCCUAAGGCUAAAUAUUGGCGAGAGACCGAUAGCGAACAAGUACCGUGAGGGAAAGAUGAAAAGAACUUUGAAAAGAGAGUUAAACAGUACGUGAAAUUGUUGAAAGGGAAACGAUUGAAGUCAGUCAUACCAACGGGAAAUCAACCUUUUGAGUUUGGUCUCGUGGGUUUUGAAGAGUUUUUAAAAGCCUUCGGAUUUUCGAGAUUGGGUUCUUCUGGUGUACUUUCUCGUACGGUUAGUCAACAUCGGUUUUGAAUGUCAUAAAAUGACUGGAGGAAUGUGGCUUCGAUCUCGUAUUGAAGUGUUAUAGCCUUUGGUAGAUGUGAUGUUCGAGACCGAGGAUUGCAACGGAUACCCUUCUGGGCUAUUCGUCUGAUCUCUGAAACGUUGCCUUGAUGUCGAAAGCUUGCUUAUGAUGUUAGGGUAUUACGGUCAAAAGGUUAGAACGGAUUAAAUUCGUUAAGGAUGUUGACGUAAUGACUUUAAACGACCCGUCUUGAAACACGGACCAAGGAGUCUAACAUAUAUGCGAGUGUUUGGGUGAAUAAACCCUUGCGCGUAAUGAAAGUGAUUUUGGUGAGAUCCGGAUUAAUUUUUUUUUUCGGAGCAUCAUCGACCGAUCAGGAUAUUU
rnacentral:rRNA from 1 species